CUGUGUUAACUAUCACAUUACUAUUAUUUAAAAUUAUUGAAAGCCCUGUGUGCAGUGUCUGCAAAUAGCAGCCUUUGUGGUAGAGUACUCAGCCUGUCGCUUGUGUGAGUCACCCUAAGGGAGCUUUGACAGUA
rnacentral:snoRNA from 14 species